rnacentral:tRNA from 1 species
AUUUAAAUAGCUUAUAUUAGUAGAGUAUAAUAUUGAAGAUAUUAGGGAGAUUACAUUAAUCUUUAAAUA